rnacentral:rRNA from 1 species
GCUCAGAUUGAACGCUGGCGGCAGGCCUAACACAUGCAAGUCGAGCGGUAGCACAGAGAGCUUGCUCUCGGGUGACGAGCGGCGGACGGGUGAGUAAUGUCUGGGAAACUGCCUGAUGGAGGGGGAUAACUACUGGAAACGGUAGCUAAUACCGCAUAACGUCGCAAGACCAAAGUGGGGGACCUUCGGGCCUCAUGCCAUCAGAUGUGCCCAGAUGGGAUUAGCUAGUAGGUGGGGUAACGGCUCACCUAGGCGACGAUCCCUAGCUGGUCUGAGAGGAUGACCAGCCACACUGGAACUGAGACACGGUCCAGACUCCUACGGGAGGCAGCAGUGGGGAAUAUUGCACAAUGGGCGCAAGCCUGAUGCAGCCAUGCCGCGUGUGUGAAGAAGGCCUUCGGGUUGUAAAGCACUUUCAGCGGGGAGGAAGGCGAUAAGGUUAAUAACCUUGUCGAUUGACGUUACCCGCAGAAGAAGCACCGGCUAACUCCGUGCCAGCAGCCGCGGUAAUACGGAGGGUGCAAGCGUUAAUCGGAAUUACUGGGCGUAAAGCGCACGCAGGCGGUCUGUCAAGUCGGAUGUGAAAUCCCCGGGCUCAACCUGGGAACUGCAUUCGAAACUGGCAGGCUAGAGUCUUGUAGAGGGGGGUAGAAUUCCAGGUGUAGCGGUGAAAUGCGUAGAGAUCUGGAGGAAUACCGGUGGCGAAGGCGGCCCCCUGGACAAAGACUGACGCUCAGGUGCGAAAGCGUGGGGAGCAAACAGGAUUAGAUACCCUGGUAGUCCACGCCGUAAACGAUGUCGAUUUGGAGGUUGUGCCCUUGAGGCGUGGCUUCCGGAGCUAACGCGUUAAAUCGACCGCCUGGGGAGUACGGCCGCAAGGUUAAAACUCAAAUGAAUUGACGGGGGCCCGCACAAGCGGUGGAGCAUGUGGUUUAAUUCGAUGCAACGCGAAGAACCUUACCUGGUCUUGACAUCCACAGAACUUACCAGAGAUGCUUUGGUGCCUUCGGGAACUGUGAGACAGGUGCUGCAUGGCUGUCGUCAGCUCGUGUUGUGAAAUGUUGGGUUAAGUCCCGCAACGAGCGCAACCCUUAUCCUUUGUUGCCAGCGGUUAGGCCGGGAACUCAAAGGAGACUGCCAGUGAUAAACUGGAGGAAGGUGGGGAUGACGUCAAGUCAUCAUGGCCCUUACGACCAGGGCUACACACGUGCUACAAUGGCAUAUACAAAGAGAAGCGACCUCGCGAGAGCAAGCGGACCUCAUAAAGUAUGUCGUAGUCCGGAUUGGAGUCUGCAACUCGACUCCAUGAAGUCGGAAUCGCUAGUAAUCGUAGAUCAGAAUGCUACGGUGAAUACGUUCCCGGGCCUUGUACACACCGCCCGUCACACCAUGGGAGUGGGUUGCAAAAGAAGUAGGUAGCUUAACCUUCGGGAGGGCGCUUACCACUUUGUGAUUCAUGACUGGGGUGAAGUCGUAACAAGGUAGCCGUAC